UACAGAGGGGGCAAGCGUUGUUCGGAAUUACUGGGCGGAAAGGGCGCGUAGGCGGCCUUCUAAGUCGAACGUGAAAUCCCCGGGCUCAACCCGGGAACUGCGUCCGAUACUGGAAGGCUUGAAUCCGGGAGAGGGAUGCGGAAUUCCAGGUGUAGCGGUGAAAUGCGUAGAUAUCUGGAGGAACACCGGUGGCGAAGGCGGCAUCCUGGACCAACACUGACGCUGAGGAGCGAAAGCCAGGGGAGCAAACGGG
rnacentral:rRNA from 1 species